rnacentral:rRNA from 1 species
UACGUAGGUGGCAAGCGUUGUCCGGAUUUAUUGGGUUUAAAGGGUGCGUAGGCGGCUUAUUAAGUUAGUGGUGAAAUACUCUAGCUCAACUAGAGGGGUGCCAUUGAUACUGAUGAGCUUGAGUACAGAUGAGGUAGGCGGAAUUGACGGUGUAGCGGUGAAAUGCUUAGAUAUCGUCAAGAACACCUAUAGCGAAGGCAGCUUACUAGGCUGUAACUGACGCUGAGGCACGAAAGUGUGGGGAUCAAACAGG